UAGAAUUCCACGUGUAGCAGUGAAAUGCGUAGAGAUGUGGAGGAAUACCGAUGGCGAAGGCAGCCUCCUGGGAUAACACUGACGUUCAUGCUCGAAAGCGUGGGUAGCAAACAGGAUUAGAUACCCUGGUAGUCCACGCCCUAAACGAUGACAAUUAGCUGUUGGGGCACUAGAUGUUUUAGUAGCGAAGCUAACGCGUGAAAUUGUCCGCCUGGGGAGUACGGUCGCAAGAUUAAAACUCAAAGGAAUUGACGGGGACCCGCACAAGCGGUGGAUGAUGUGGAUUAAUUCGAUGCAACGCGAAGAACCUUACCUGGUCUUGACAUGUACGGAAUCUCUUAGAGAUAGGAGAGUGCCUUCGGGAGCCGUAACACAGGUGCUGCAUGGCUGUCGUCAGCUCGUGUCGUGAGAUGUUGGGUUAAGUCCCGCAACGAGCGCAACCCUUGUCAUUAGUUGCCAUCAUUAAGUUGGGCACUCUAAUGAGACUGCCGGUGACAAACCGGAGGAAGGUGGGGAUGACGUCAAGUCCUCAUGGCCCUUAUGACCAGGGCUUCACACGUCAUACAAUGGUCGGUACAGAGGGUAGCGAAGCCGCGAGGUGAAGCCAAUCUCAGAAAGCCGAUCGUAGUCCGGAUUGCACUCUGCAACUCGAGUGCAUGAAGUCGGAAUCGCUAGUAAUCGCAGGUCAGCAUAC
rnacentral:rRNA from 2 species